rnacentral:rRNA from 1 species
UGGGCGAAAGCCUGAUCCAGCAAUGCCGCGUGUGUGAAGAAGGCCUUCGGGUUGUAAAGCACUUUUGUCCGGAAAGAAAUGGCUCUGGUUAAUACCUGGGGUCGAUGACGGUACCGGAAGAAUAAGGACCGGCUAACUACGUGCCAGCAGCCGCGGUAAUACGUAGGGUCCAAGCGUUAAUCGGAAUUACUGGGCGUAAAGCGUGCGCAGGCGGUUGUGCAAGACCGAUGUGAAAUCCCCGAGCUUAACUUGGGAAUUGCAUUGGUGACUGCACGGCUAGAGUGUGUCAGAGGGGGGUAGAAUUCCACGUGUAGCAGUGAAAUGCGUAGAGAUGUGGAGGAAUACCGAUGGCGAAGGCAGCCCCCUGGGAUAACACUGACGCUCAUGCACGAAAGCGUGGGGAGCAAACAGGAUUAGAUACCCUGGUAGUCCACGCCCUAAACGAUGUCAACUAGUUGUUGGGGAUUCAUUUCCUUAGUAACGUAGCUAACGCGUGAAGUUGACCGCCUGGG